UUCGCAAUGCCCGAAAGGGUGACGAAGCGACGCCGCGUGGGUGAGGAAGGCCUUCGGGUUGUAAAACCCUGUCAGGAGUUAUGAAAUGUAAGUGCGAUAAUACCGUGCUUAUUUGACAAAGGCUCCAAAGGAAGCCACGGCUAACUCUGUGCCAGCAGCCGCGGUAAUACAGAGGUGGCAAGCGUUGUUCGGAAUUACUGGGCGUAAAGAGCACGUAGGUGGAUUUGUAAGUCAGAUGUGAAAGCCUUCUGUUCAACGGAAGAAUUGCAUCUGAAACUACAAACCUUGAGUAUAGGAGGGGAGAAUGGAACUUCUGGUGGAGCGGUGAAAUGCGUAGAUAUCAGAAGGAACGCCGGCGGCGAAAGCGAUUCUCUGGCCUAUUACUGACACUGAGUGUGCGAAAGCUAGGGGAGCAAACGGGAUUAGAUACCCCGGUAGUCCUAGCCGUAAACGAUGGGCACUAAGUAGAGGGGUUUU
rnacentral:rRNA from 1 species